rnacentral:lncRNA from 1 species
GCAGAGGAUUGGAGAACUCUUUUAGAGGCCAGACUGCUGAGAGUUUCCUGCCAUGGGGCCGGCCCCGAGCAGAGCCGACUGGCCGUCUUGGAAGUUGGAACUCCAGGGUGGAAGAGUGGUUGGAAGGCAGCUCUCACUGGCCUUGGGGGGACUCCUUCCUUUCCCUCUGCUCCUGCCGACCAGAACUUCCCACUUCAAGAAGACUUUUUGGGAAGAGGAAAAGUAGCAUCUGUGAUUUCGAGACACCUCUGCCAGCAUCUGGAUGGGAUUCAGAAUUGGGAAGGCAAAGUAAUCAUACCGAUAAAAAGAGGGAGGAUUUUGGACCUCCAUGAAGAUACUGAAGUGGGGGUGGGGGCAGGGAGAGAGGGUGUUUAUCUGCUUGCCUGGCUGGCACCAUUGCUGUCAUCGUUUCCUUACAUCUUCACCACGACAAGACUGUGUCAUUCGAGCCAUCUUGAGAAGGAGAAGAUGAAAGCUGGGAGGCCGUGAACAUCUCGCCCAGAUUUAUGUUGCUGCAAAAAGAAUUGAAAUUGGGAGGCAGAUUGCAUCCAAAGCUGGAAUAUUUCCAUGUGCUCUUCCCUACACCAUCCUAAAGACGUGGAAGGCAGGGCCUCCCCUCCCUUCCGUGCACCUUCUUGCCCCCGCCCCUGUGGUCUCUGUAUCUGCACUAAGAUGAAUGUGCUCUGGCCUCUCCCACCUCACACAGAGCAAGGAGAAAAGGCAACAGCCUCAAAUCUGCCCAAUAUUCCACGGAAGCUGGUCUUUCUUCUACAUGGACAGUGAUUCCCUUUGAAAAGGCAGCAACAUUGAACUGCCCCAGGUCAGAGAUUCCUCGAGCUAUGGACUUGGGGAAGUGCUAGGGAGGCACUGUACCUUUUCCAAAUUGUUUUGGAGUAUUUUGUGCUAGUGUGCAUCUCUCUGGUGUGUGUGCAUACACACGCCUGUGUGUUUCUGUUGCCGAAACUCGGCCUCUGUCCACUGCUGUGGAAUAGAAACGGGGAGUUUGGGUGAAGGAGAAAAAGGUAUUUAUUGCUUUGCCAGGCAAAGGGGAGCACAGGAGGCUAAUGUUUAAAGACUGCACCUCCCUAGGGAGAGAUUAGGAGGUGGUUUUUAGUUUGGGGUGUGGAAAAUAGGGCCCUAGAUAGGAUCAGGGGAGAGACANCACUGUACCUUUUCCAAAUUGUUUUGGAGUAUUUUGUGCUAGUGUGCAUCUCUCUGGUGUGUGUGCAUACACACGCCUGUGUGUUUCUGUUGCCGAAACUCGGCCUCUGUCCACUGCUGUGGAAUAGAAACGGGGAGUUUGGGUGAAGGAGAAAAAGGUAUUUAUUGCUUUGCCAGGCAAAGGGGAGCACAGGAGGCUAAUGUUUAAAGACUGCACCUCCCUAGGGAGAGAUUAGGAGGUGGUUUUUAGUUUGGGGUGUGGAAAAUAGGGCCCUAGAUAAGGAUCAGGGGAGAGACAAGCUUGUGUUGUCUUUCAAAGCUGGUGUUU